rnacentral:rRNA from 1 species
CCAGACUCCUACGGGAGGCAGCAGUGGGGAAUAUUGCGCAAUGGGGGGAACCCUGACGCAGCAACGCCGCGUGCAGGAAGAAGGUCUUCGGAUUGUAAACUGUUGUCGCAGGGGAAGAAGACAGUGACGGUACCCUGUGAGAAAGUCACGGCUAACUACGUGCCAGCAGCCGCGGUAAUACGUAGGUGACAAGCGUUGUCCGGAUUUACUGGGUGUAAAGGGCGCGUAGGCGGAUGUGCAAGUCAGUCGUGAAAUACCGGGGCUCAACCUCGCUCCGCCGUUGAAACUGGCGUUCUUGAGUGGGCGAGAAGUAUGCGGAAUGCGUGGUGUAGCGGUGAAAUGCAUAGAUAUCACGCAGAACUCCGAUUGCGAAGGCAGCAUACCGGCGCCCAACUGACGCUGAAGCACGAAAGCGUGGGUAUCGAACAGGAUUAGAUACCCCCGUA